rnacentral:rRNA from 1 species
GACGAACGCUGGCGGCGUGCCUAAUACAUGCAAGUUGAGCGCUGAAGGUUGGUACUUGUACCAACUGGAUGAGCAGCGAACGGGUGAGUAACGCGUGGGGAAUCUGCCUUUGAGCGGGGGACAACAUUUGGAAACGAAUGCUAAUACCGCAUAAAAACUUUAAACACAAGUUUUAAGUUUGAAAGAUGCAAUUGCAUCACUCAAAGAUGAUCCCGCGUUGUAUUAGCUAGUUGGUGAGGUAAAGGCUCACCAAGGCGAUGAUACAUAGCCGACCUGAGAGGGUGAUCGGCCACAUUGGGACUGAGACACGGCACAAACUCCUACGGGAGGCAGCAGUAGGGAAUCUUCGGCAAUGGAUGAAAGUCUGACCGAGCAACGCCGCGUGAGUGAAGAAGGUUUUCGGAUCGUAAAACUCUGUUGGUAGAGAAGAACGUUGGUGAGAGUGGAAAGCUCAUCAAGUGACGGUAACUACCCAGAAAGGGACGGCUAACUACGUG